GCACGCGUCGUUCGCGACGUCUUUCGGGCCGAUCUCGACGCGAAUCGGUACCCCCUUCAUCUCCCACUGCGCGAACUUCCACCCCGGCGAGUUCCUCUCGUCGUCGUCGAGCUUGACGCGGACGCCCGCGUCCGUCAGCGUCUUCACGACCGCGCUCGCGGCGGCGUUCACGGACUCCUUGUCCUUGUUCUUCUGCGCGAUGGGGACGACGACGACUUGGAUCGGCGCGAGCGCGGGCGGGAGCCUUAGGGUCGUUCCAUACAAGGCGAUGGCGGGGUGGAGUUGAAAGGCGUCAGUGGGCGUUGAAAGGCGCCGAGGGCGGGGAUUGAAAGCGAGGGGUGAGCGGAGAGACACGACGGCAAAAGUCCUUAAGAAACGGCGUUCACCACGCGAACGCGGUCGUAUGGGGACCAGUGUAUAGAACGCGCCGUAAGCCGACGUCGUCGCCGUGGGUCAUGAUGAUCCCGCCGAUGAGCCGCGUGCUGACGCCCCACGAGCUCUGAUGCACGUGCUGCGUUUUCCCGUUCUCGUCCAGGAACGUCGUGUCGAACGCCUUUGCGAAGUUUUGCCCGAGGUUAUGCGACGUCCCCGCCUGCAGCGCUCGCUUAUCCCCCAUCAUCGCCUCGAUCGUGUACGUGUUAUUCGCCCCCGCGAACGUCUCGACGCGCGAUUUACGGCCGACGAUCACCGGCAUCGCGGCGACGUCCUCGGCAAACUCGCGGUACACGUCGAUCAUCUGCACCGCGCGCUCCUCCGCCUCCUCCGCGGUCGCGUGCGCGGUGUGCCCCUCCUGCCACAGAAACUCGAGCGUGCGAAUGAACGGCCGCGUGCGCAUCUCCCACCGAUGGACGUUCGCCCACUGAUUCAUCAGCAGCGGCAGGUCGCGGUAGGACUGAAUCCACUGCGAGAACAUGUGGUUCACGAUCGUCUCGGACGUCGGACGCACCACGAGCGGCUCCUCGAGCGUCUUCCCGCCGCCCUGCGUCACGACCGCGAGCUCCGGGGAGAACCCUUCCACGUGCGACGCCUCCUUCGUGAUGAACGAAUACGGGAUGAGCUGCGGAAAGUACGCGUUCUCGACGCCCGUGGUCUUAAACUUCGCGUCCAUCCAACGCUGAAUGCCCUCCCAGAGCGCGUACCCGUACGGGCGUAUGACCAUCGUGCCUCGCGCGGGGCCGUAGUCCGCGAGCUCGCACUCGCGGAUGACGUCGAGGUACCAGCGCGAGAAGUCUUCGGAUUUCGGCGUGACGCCAACCUCCGCGCCCGCCUUGGGCUUGGCCUUCGCGGCGUCCGCCGCCGCCGCCUUCGCCGCCGCCUUCGCCGCGGCCUCCGGGUCCGCGAGCGCCUCCGCGGUAGCCUUCAGCUCCUUCAGCUUCGCGACCGCGGCGUCGACGUCCGCCUUGCUGACGUCGGCGCCGUCCUUCUUCGAUUGCUUCAGCGCGCGCACGACGUCGCCCUGCGCCGCGGCGGCCGCGGUCGCGGCCGCGACGUCGUCCGCGCUCGCGGCCGUGCCCGCCGUCGCCGCGCGCGGCGCGUGGGACGCGCCGCGCGACGGCGCGAGGGACGCGAGGACGCGCGGAUGACGCGCGGAGAAGGACGGGAGCGCGGACGCGGCGUUUGCGGCGCCGCGAGCGAGGCGGGGGAAGAGCGGGAGGGCGGCGUGAUGACGAUGUUGGUGAUGAUGACGCGUCGACGCGGUCGUCGCGCGGACGGCGACGCUCGCGCGACGCGAGGCGACGCCUCCGCGGAGGGCCCUGCCGAUCGAGCGCGAGAACGCCAUCGUGGUGUCACCGCGAACUCCGGUGACGGACAUGGAGGUGUGAGCGUCGCGUGAGGCGCGCGCGUUGGACUGAUGAGCGUCGUCCCCCGAGCGCCGCGUCUUAUCGAUUGAGGACCGCCGAAGCCCUCGCCGGAGGGUUUCGUUUCGCGCCGGUAUCAAAUCUGUCGGUCAACAAAAACGUUCACCCAAAAACGUUCACCCACACGACCGAUCACCUUGACCGCUGGAUAUCAAUUUUUUUUGCGCGCUGUUAAUUAUUUAACCUGCGUUUGAACAGAACCUCUCCGACGGCGGCCACUCGCGGACGCGCACCGCACGCCUUCCCGGGCUCCGGCGUCGCGCUCUCGCUUCGGUCCUCGAACGAUAGGCCUCGAACGGAAGAUCCGGCGCUGAAGUCUCGCGCGCGGACGCGUUUGAAGGCGCGCGCGGGAGGGCGAUCUCUGCCUCCUCGGCGCAGAUUUUUUUAUUUGACGUCGCGCAGGAAAGAUGAUGCAGACGUCGACGACGCCGGCGACGGCGUCCGCGGCGCUCGCGGCGUCGUCGCGGCCGCUCAUGCGCCGCCCCGUCGCGGCGUUCGCGACGUCGCGGAGGACGCCGCGCGCGUCGUCGCCCGCGUCGUUUUCCGUUCGCGCGAGGACCCCGCGCGACGCGACGACGCCGACGCCGGUCGCCGCCGCGCGCGUCGACGUCGCGCGAGCGGCGGGCGCUCGCCGCGCGUCGUCGCCGCGCGUCGUCUCCACGCCGCGGCGUCCCCGCGCCGCCGCCGCGAUCGCCGCGGCGUUCGCGCCGGCGCCGGCGCCGCGCCGCGCGGAACAGGAUGAUCCGUCGUCGCCGCCGCGCGGGGGCUCGAUCGUCGCGACGGCGUCGUCGCCGUCGAGCGGCGGCGACGCGUCGUCGACGACGUCGAUGAAGCAACCCGAUCGCAACCCGAUCGCGAGAUUCCUGAAACCCCUCGACGGCUUGUGGGGGAAGCUGAUCCCCAUGGCGAUCAUGUUCUACUGGAUGGCGCUCGCGAACGGCGUCCUCGACGCGCUCAGAGACGCGCUCGUCGUCACCGCGUUCGGCGGCGCGGAGCAGAUCCCGUAUCUCACCGUGUACGCCGUGUUGCCCGCGUCGCUCACCUUCGUCGCCGUCUUCGCGAAGUUCAGGUGCGUUCUAUACACUGGUCCCCAUACGAUCGCGUUGGCGUGGUGAACGCCGAUCCUUAAGGACUUUUCCUGGCGCGUCUCUCCGCCCAGCUCUCGCUUUCAAUCCCCGCCCUCGACGCCUUUCAACUUCAUCUGACGCCUUUCAACUCCACCCCGACGUCGCUUUGUAUGGAACGACCCUCAGCCAACGAUGGGGCCGCGAGAAGCUCUUCUACAUCUUCCUCGCGUUCUUCAUGACCUUCUUCGCCGUCUUCACGCUCGUGCUGUACCCGAACAUCGACGCGCUGCAUCCGACCGCGUUCGGCGCGUCCGUCGCCGCGGGCCUCCCCGCCGGCCUCGCCGGCGGGGUCGCCGUGCUCACCAAUUGGGUCUACUCGUUGUUUUACGUCGCGAGCGAGAUGUGGGGAGACGUGAUGCUCUCGCUGCUGUUCUGGGGGAUGGCGAACGAGACGACGCGGCUCGAGGACGCGGGGAUCAUCUACCCGCUCCUCGGCGUCGGCGCGAACGUCGCGCAGGCGAGCAGCGGCGUGAUCGUGCGUUGGGUCUCGAGCUACGGCGGGUGGACGCAUCUCACCGCCAAAGAGGCGUGGAGCGUGAAGCUCAACAUCCUGAUGUCCAUCGCGUUCGCGUGCUGCGUCGGGAUCGGGUUGACGCACGCGUACAUCAUGAAGCGCGCGCACGACGCGGACGGAGGGAAGCAGUACGACCUCGACCAGGCCGCGGCGUUGAAGGCGAGGGAGGAUCACGCGAAGGAUCAGGCGAGGGUCGCCGCGGGGAGAAAGCCCAAAAAGGACAAGACGGGCUUGAUCGACGCGCUGAAAUUCGUCGCGCGCACGCCCGAGGUGCUGUGCCUCGCGGUGAUGUCCAUCUGCCAAGGCCUGAGCAGCAUCUUAUUCCAGGUGGCGUGGAAGGGGCAGCUGAGGAUAUUACACCCGGAGCCGCACGCGUACAGCGCGUUCAUGGGCGACGUCCAGCUCGGCAGCGGCUGCCUGACGUGCUUCCUCAUGAUCAUGGCGCCGUGGCUGUUCAAAACCCUCGGCUGGGCCGGGACGCUGUCCGUGACGCCAAAGUUCAGCGCGAUCGCGGGGUGGAGCUUCUUCGGGUGUUCGAUAUGGCUGGCGUCCAGAGGGAUGCUCGUGCACGGCGCGCCUCUGUUGACAUACCUCGCGUGGGGCGGCGCGGUGUUGUACGUCAUGGAACGCGCCGCUAAAUUUUCGCUCUUCAAACCCGCGGAGGAGAUGGUCUACAUCACCCUCGACGAGGAGUCCAAGACGAAAGGCAAAGCCGCCGUGGACGUCCUCGGCGCGCAGGUGGGGAAGACGGGCGGGAGCAUGCUUCAGCAGGGGUUUUUGCUAUUCUUCGGCACCAUCGUCGCUUCGCUGCCGUUGCUCGCGGCGGGACACACGUCGAUCGUGUUGCUGUGGCUGUGGGCGGUGCGGAGGCUCGAUAGGAUGCACGGCGCGGAGCUGGAGCGGGUUCACGCGCGGUUGGACGAUUUGGACGAGGACGCGGCGUCGCCCGCGGUGGCGUGAUGAGACGGCGACCGCGACGGGCGGCGGGGGGGAAGUCGACGGAUGUAUUUUUGUCAACCUUAAGGUUACUUUGUUUUGUCGUCGCCGGCAGAUUGGAACGCGUACGCACUGGUCGCGCUCGUCUCUGUCACGCGGUACGGUACACGUACGUUACGUUAUGCUCCCUACAUUACAUCCUACUACAGUGCGCUCAUCAUCACUUCGCUUCGCUUCGCUUCACUUCUUCUUCUUCGGCGCGUUCGCGCCCGGCCCGCCCGUCUGCGUCGCGGACGCGUACCCCAUGGCGCGUAACAUCUCCAUCACCGUCGCCGCGACGUCGCCCUGGAACGUCAUCGCGCCGUUCUCCGCGACGCUCCCGCCGCACCCGAGCACCUUCUUAAAUUUCUGCGCGAUCUCCUUCGCGGCGUCUUUCCCCCCCGGCGGCGCGAACGCGUCGAUCACGGUGACGGUCUUUCCCUUCGUGCCGCUCCGCGUGACGCCGACGCGGACUCUCUGCGCGGCGAUGUCGACGCCGACGCUCGCGCCCGCGCCCGCGCCGAUCGCGUUGGGGGGCUUCUUCGCGCCGCCGCCUCGCGUCGGCGCGGCGGUGGUCUUCGAUGAUUUUGACUUCGCGCGCUCGGCUUUCAUCGCGCCGCCUUUGGACAGCGCGGCGACGGCGUCGGACUCGCUCAUCCGCGUCAUCGACGAAAAGGACGACGACGACGACGACGACCGCUCGGUGGCCUCCUUCGCGGCGUUCGACGCCGCGGGCAAGGACGACUUCAGCGACGCGAGGUCGCCGAACGGGUUCGCUCCCGGCGGGGUGGACUUCUUUCCGCCGCCGCCCUUCGCGCCGGCGAAGACGCGAACGACGCGACGCAUCGUCGUCGUCGUCGUCGUCGACAUCGCGGAGGAGGAAGAGGAGGACGACGACGACGACGACGCCGUUCGUCUCGGAGGCGCGCCGCGCGCGUCGCGCCAUCCCACGCGCGCGCUCGCGCGCGCGCGCGGCGCGCACGUCCCGGACGCGAUCGCGAUCGACAUCGCGACCGCGGACGGCGUUCUCGACCGCGCCGAGGCGCGCGUCGCUCUGCGGCGUCGCGGCCCGCUCUCCACGACACGAAGAAGGUCAGGUCGUCGCGGAAAAUCUGGAGACUCUUCGCCCCGAACAGAAUUCUGUUCCCGAGAGCAUUUACCCCCGCGCCCUCUCCCGCAUCCCACACGCCAUGGCAGCUCCCAACACGGACUGGUGGGCGACGAUCCAGUCCGCGGCGUACACCGCCGCGGAGACGACGCGCUUACUCUCCCUGCGCACCGCGAAGCAGGCGGAGGUCAUGUACCACGAGCGUCAGAUUCAAUUGACGAAGGAAUCGUUCGGGAAGGACGUCUUCCAGCACAUGGAGGCGAACAACGCGGCGACGGUGCAGCAGAUGUUCGCGGACGCGAAGAGCGCGAUCGACGGGAUCAAGGCCACGAUCGCGAAGUGCAACGAGGACAUCGAAGAGCUCACGAAGCAGAUGGCCGCGGUGGGGUCGUGACGACGAGGACAUUAAUGUAUUUUACCCCUUUGAAUCGACGAUGGACGAACUGGAACGGACGACGCGUCGGAACGGCGCCGAGGAGACGCGACGGAGCGUCGACGAGAAGGAAAGCGACGUGACCGACCCCGCGCCACGCGUGGGAUAGCUCAAGAUAGACGAAAUAGGUGCAAUAGCCGCGUAUGAUAGUAGGUUGAACUGAAUCAAGCGAUUGGUCGGACAAGACGCCGAAAUUCUCAUUCACAUCAAGACGCAGUCGCUACCGCUCUUCUUCUUAUACUUCCCGCUCUUGCUCUUCCCCGGCUUCGCGCCCUUCUGCGCAUUGCCGCCGCCGCCGGCGGCAGCGGCGUCCUCCCUCUCCCGUUCCCGUCGCAUCGUCCCGUCAUGGCGAUGACGCGCCUCUUCCGCGUCGCGUUCCCGCCGCUCCGCGCGCCGCCGCGCGUUCGCCUCAGCCUCCUCCGCCUCGAACUCCGCCUGAAGCGCCACGGCGAGCGCGUAGUCGCCGUCGCCGUCGGUUUGGGGCGCCGCGCCCGCGCCCGCGCGGUGGUGCUGUCCCACGGGCACGCCGACCGCGACGCCGCGCGCGUCCGGCGGCGGCGGCAAUGCGCAGAAGGGCGCGAAGCCGGGGAAGAGCAAGAGCGGGAAGUAUAAGAAGAAGAGCGGUAGCGACUGCGUCUUGAUGUGAAUGAGAAUUUCGGCGUCUUGUCCGACCAAUCGCUUGAUUCAGUUCAACCUACUAUCAUACGCGGCUAUUGCACCUAUUUCGUCUAUCUUGAGNNNNNNNNNNNNNNNNNNNNNNNNNNNNNNNNNNNNNNNNNNNNNNNNNNNNNNNNNNNNNNNNNNNNNNNNNNNNNNNNNNNNNNNNNNNNNNNNNNNNCGUCGACGAGAAGGAAGCGACGUGACCGACCCCGCGCCACGCGUGGGAUAGCUCAAGAUAGACGAAAUAGGUGCAAUAGCCGCGUAUGAUAGUAGGUUGAACUGAAUCAAGCGAUUGGUCGGACAAGACGCCGAAAUUCUCAUUCACAUCAAGACGCAGUCGCUACCGCUCUUCUUCUUAUACUUCCCGCUCUUGCUCUUCCCCGGCUUCGCGCCCUUCUGCGCAUUGCCGCCGCCGCCGGCGGCAGCGGCGUCCUCCCUCUCCCGUUCCCGUCGCAUCGUCCCGUCAUGGCGAUGACGCGCCUCUUCCGCGUCGCGUUCCCGCCGCUCCGCGCGCCGCCGCGCGUUCGCCUCAGCCUCCUCCGCCUCGAACUCCGCCUGAAGCGCCACGGCGAGCGCGUAGUCGCCGUCGCCGUCGGUUUGGGGCGCCGCGCCCGCGCCCGCGCGGUGGUGCUGUCCCACGGGCACGCCGACCGCGACGCCGCGCGCGUCCGGCGGCGGCGGCGGCGGCGGCGGGCGCAAAAAGUCGUCGCCCAACGCGCCGCCGCCGCCGCCGGACGAUGCCAGCAUCGCCGCGGCGAUCCGCGCGUCCUCCUCCGUCGCCCUCCGCUGCUCCUCCGCGGGAUCCAAGUGCGGCGCGAACGCCUCGAACCUCCCGUUCACGAACAUCCCCGCCGCGUGCGUUACCCCCCCGCCGCCGCCGCCGCCCCCUCCACCCACUCCGUCGUCCGCAGGCGCCAACGCCUCCCACACCACGUCGCUCUCGUUGAGGUACCCUUGGUCCGUCACGAGCAGGUACAGCGCGCCGUCCUUCUUGAACACCGUGCUGAAGUGGUUGUUCCGGAAGAACACAACGAGCUCGUUCUCUUUCACGCGAUCGCGAGCCGCGCGCAAGCCGUGCGGGGUGAGCUGCGACGCGGAACGCGCGAGGAAAUCUUCGAUCACGAGCCGCUCCGUCGUCGCGUCCAUCGCCGAGGCGUCCGACCGGCCGCUCGUCGUCGCCGCCGUGAUCUCGCCGCCGCCGUGGUCGUCGUCGGUUCUCUCAGGCGGAGAGUCGUGGCCCACGCGCAAGCGCGAGAGGUUCACGCCCAGGGGGUCCGAAUCGUCCGCGUCUGCGUCUGGCGGCGGCGGAGGUGAGACUGCUUUCCAUACGACCCCGUUCGCGUGGUGCACGCCGUUCCUUAAGGACUUUUCCGGCGGCUCCGGCGGCGCGCUCACGAGCUCGAUCAUCCGCUCCAUGAGCUGAUUGUAGCUCCUCCCCCCCACCGCCGCCCUCGCCUGCGCGUCGUCCGGAUCUAUCACCCACGCGUGGCACAGCGUCACGUCGAGCAGGUCGAAUAUCGCGAGUUGCGGCGUGAACUCAAAGUCCAGCGGGUGACGGAAUCCGACGUUGACGUCGAGCCCGGUGGCGAGCGCGGGGAGCGCCGCCAUCGCGUCCGAGACGUUCUGCUCCUGGUUCUUCCGCACGAGCUCGUCCGCCUCCGCGCGCUCCCGCCUCUCCGCGGCGGAUUCGGCGGAUUCUGCGGACGCGGACGCGGACGACGUCGCGCCGUCGGACGACGGCGAAUUUGACGUCUUGUCGUUCACGUCUAAGAUGCGCGCGGCGACGAGCGACAUGAGCUCCGCGGUGGUCACCUCCGGGCGGUCGGACGGCCCGCUCAGGGUGAGCGCGUUCCGGAGGAGGAGGACGUUCGCGAUGCCGAUGAGCGGGCACGGGCCGUUCUCGUUCUGGCAGAUGAUGGGGCGCUCGGCGCCGAGGAAGGAGACGCGCUUCACCGCGUGUCCGCGCAUCUCGUCGUCGUGGCGCGGCGGUAUAGGCGGCGGCGCGGCGGACGCCAUCGCCGCGCGGCGCGGCGCGGCGGCGACGGCGGCGGAGGUGGCGGCGGCGAGACCCGCGGCGAGCGACGCGAGACCUGCCCCCGUGCGGACGCGCGAGAUGGAAGUGACGAGGGGGCCGGCGAUCUGACAUCGCGUCGCGUCGCGUCGUCCUUUCCAGUCGUGGUCUUCAUCACAGCAGUUCGCCGCGCGCGAGGGGACGUCGCGCGGUCGUCGUCGUCCCUCUUCGCGCGAUGGAGACGCGCGCAGCGCGCGCGCCGGCCCUCGCGUCGACGUCGCGCCGCGCGCGCGACCGCGCGAGAGACCGCGCGCGCGCGCCCGCGCGCGCCGCGCAUCGCCGCGUCGUCGCCGCAGCAGACGCCGCGUCCGUCGGAUCGGACGUCGUCGUCGCCGUCGUGACGACGUCGAGCUGCCCGCACUGCCGCCGCGUCAAGUCCGCGCUCGCGGACGCGUCCGUGCCGUUCGUGGAGAUCGACGCGUCCUCGGAGAACGGCAUCAUCCUCCGCGCGUCGACGUCGCUCAGCGGCAUGCGAACGGUGCCUCAGGUGUACGUCGGCGCGGUCUGCUUCGGCGGCGCGGACGACGUCGAGGAGGGUCUCCGAAGCGGCGCGUUCGCGGCGAAGGUGGCGAGCGCGAAGGACGAGGGCGCGGUUCUCCCGCCCGCGAUCGCGCGCGCGAUGAGGGAGAGCGCGGUCGCGGCGAAGGAGGAGAAGGCGGAGAAGGAGAAGGAGGAGGAGGAGGAGGAGGCGGAGGAGGCAUCGGACGACGACGCGGAGUACGCCGCGCUGGACGCGCUCGCGACGAGGAUGGCGGCCGCGCUGACCCCGCGCGACGUGUACGCGUUCGGAGGAUGGCGCGCGCCGCUGACGCUCCUGCAGUGCGUCCUCGACGGCGCGACGAUAACGCGAUGGCUCGCGACCACCGCGGACGAAAGUACGGCGGCGUCGACGCGCGGCGGCGCCGCCGCGGAGCUCGGCGGUAAGAUGAUGGAGUACGGUCUGCUGACCAGCGCGAGCGCGUCGGAGGCGUUCGAGGACGACGGCGGGAAGCUGUACAGGCUCGCGGACCACGCGUGCGAGCCGCGGGCGUACCCGAAGACGACGCCGGCGCCGUUGAACGCGAGGCGGCGGCGGCGGCGCGGCGGCGGCGGCGACGGGAAAAACGCAGGCGACGCCGCCGCCGUCGCGGCGUCGCUUCGGAAGAAAAUCCUCGCGCUGUACGACGCGCAUCUCUCCGAGGACGGCCGAUCCGUGGACUACGCGGCGAUGAGAACGUCGCGCGCGUUCCGGGAGUACGUCGACGCCACGGAGGAUCUGCGCUCGGUGGACCCGCGCUCCAUGCGUCGCGAGGAGAAGAUCGCCUUCUUCUUAAACGUCUACAACGCGCUCGUCGUGCACGUCACCGCCGUCGUCGGCGCGCCCGACGGCUUCUUCGAUCGCUUGACGUACUUUGGAAGGUAUAAAUACGAGAUCGGCGGGUGUUACUACUCCUGCGAUGACAUCGAGCACGGGAUACUGCGAGGGAACAGGCCGGGCGCGGCGAGUCUCGGCGCGAUCGUAGGAAAACCGGGGCUCUCCCGAGGCCCGUUCGACGCGACGAGCGACCCGCGCGCGCAGCACGUCGUGCUCCCCGUGGACCCGCGGAUACACUUCGCGCUCGUGUGUGGCGCGAAGAGCUGCCCGCCGAUACGCACGUACACGGGCGAGGGGUUGGACGCGCAGUUGGCCGCCGCCGCGGAGGCGUUUUGCGAGGGCGACGUCCAAGUCGUUUUGUCGGACGAUACAGUCGCGUCGGACGCUCGUUCCUCUUCUCCGGCGAACGAUCGCGUCGUCGUGCGCGUGUCCAAGAUAAUCGGCACGUGGUACAAGGACGACUUCGGCGACACCGACGAGGCGCGGCUGCGGACGAUUUCGACGUACUUGCGGCCGGACGGCGACGCGGCGAGACGCGUGCGCGACGCGUUGGACGGCGCGAAGCGGGUGACGUUGGAGAGCCCGGAGUACGACUGGAGUUUGAACGGAACGACAACGGUCGAAUGACGUGCGUUUCGUUUCGUUUCGUUCGUUUCUUUCGUUCGUCACCGCGACGCGUUAUCGCUAUAGGGAGGGUAGUUCUCCUUUCGUUCUAUUGGUGUCAUCUAAGGUCGUGUCACUUCGCGCCGCGAGCGAGCGUUAAGCCUUGCCGCGGCUUUUUCGCCGCCGGCGACCCCGCGGGCGUCCCCCCCAGCCCCGGCGGCUCUCUCUUCGUCUCGCCGCCGCCGCCGUUCCCCCCACCCUCUCCUUCGCCCCCAUCGUCGUCGCCGCGAGUCUUCGCCGCGCCGUAGAACGCCAGAGUCUCCUCAUCCGCGCCCAUGACGAGCCCCCGCGCGCGGUUCUCGUGCGCCUCGACGCGCGCUUCGAGUUCCGCGAUCGCCGCCGCCGCCUCCGCGCGCGCUCUUCGCGCGUCGGCGCACAUCGACGGCUUCAGCGGGCUGCUCCCCGCGAGCCCGCCGACGCGCGCGCUCACGCCGGCGAUCUUGACGCUCUCCCCGUCGGACGCGAAGGACGCGUCGUAGAGCGACAGCAUCGAGCGAAGCGCCCGCAGCGCUCUGCGGUCGCCUUCGACGGCGCGUUCUAAUUCCUCGUUCCGAGCCGCGAUCGUGCGGGUCAUCACGACGAGCGCUUUGCCCCACGAGGCCAUCCCACCAUCGAACCGCGUGCCGUACACGCACCCGCCGGUCGGUGGGAAUCGGAGCGUCGCUUUCGUGUCCUCUUUCUCGUCCAGCACCGCGGUCACGAGCAACCCGCAGGGAAGCCCGUAUUCGUUUUCGUCGUCGUCCAAAUCUAAUCGUACCGUCUCGAAAGUCGCCGCUCGGAGGGUCUUGCGCAGGAGCACGAGCGUCUCCUCCACGGUCAAGCUCAGGGCCUGGUCCUCAGCGACGUGAUCGAGGAGUUUGUCCAUCGAGAACGUGCGAUACAGCAGAAUCUCAAUGCCCGCGGGAACAGGCUUUAGGGUGAGCGUGGACGGAUGCCAGAUCCGAAAUUCGCACGUGUAGCUCUUCGGCGAGGCUCGCCAUCGGCGAGUGGAGUCCGCCUCCUUGACAUCGGGGUAAACGAGGAUGUCGUAGAAUUCUCGCGCCAUAUCGGCGCCCCAACCGAUAGGGAUGGCGCCGCAUUCGCGCCAACAGUACGCGUACUCCGCCUCGUAGCGCAUCGAGAACUGAAUAACGCAUCGAGACGAACGCGAACGUCGUGGUUGUUUCUUUUUCACUCCGUCGCGCCCCGAUGGCGUCCUCCAUCCCCUACGACGACGACAACGUCUUCAAGAAGAUCAUCGAGGGCGUCAUCCCGUGCUACAAGAUCUUCGAGACGGAGCACGCGCUCGCGUUCUUAGACGCGUUCCCCAUGGCGCCCGGGCACGCGCUCCUCGUCCCGAAGACGACGGGCGCCGCGACGAUGAUGGACCUCCCCGAAGACGUCGCCGCGAACGUCCUCAAGGAGCUCCCGCGGCUCGCGAGGGCGGUGAAGGCCGCGACCGGGUGCGACGGCGUGAACGUCGUUCAGAACAACGGCGCGACCGCGGGGCAGGUCGUGUUCCACCUCCACGUGCACGUGAUACCGCGGUGGGAGAAGGACGGCGUGGUGCGACUGGGGAAGAGCGGGGAGGCGAUAGGGAAGGACGCCGCGGACGCGAUGGUCGCGAAGAUGAAAGCCGCCAUCGGCGAGGCGUAGUAACGCACGAAAUGUGACCGUCGUAUAUGAUAUGUUAUAUAUACGCGACACCUGUAGUUUAUAUGCUCACAUCGACUUCGUCGUCGUCGUCGUCGUCGUCGUCGUCGUCGAUGACGUCUACUACGCUACGCGCGAAGUCUGUUCGCUCGUUCAGUCCCCGAACGACGACGGCGGCGUGAUCGAAGCCGCCGCCCACGCGUCGUCGCCGUACGCCCGCAUCUCCUCCAACGCCCUCAGUGACAAAUCCUCCACGACGUCGUCCACGCCGCCGCAGGACGAGUACGCUCUGUACGCUAAAUCGGACGCGAAGCGCAACGCCCAGAGCUCGCUCGACCCGCGCACCGGCGUCGGCGGCUUCCACGCCGCCGCGCGUUUUUUCGACACUUCUCCGACACCUUCCGACAUGUUUCCGACACCACAUUCUUCUCGUCCGACACCUUCUUCAUCUUCUCUCGCGCGCGUCGCCGCCCACAUCUCGUUCGAGCGUCUCAGCGCCGCGCGCAGGACGCGCCCGGUCAUCGCUACCGCAGCCUCCUUCAGCCGCGAGAUCUCGUCCCGGUAAAACGGCACCCCGGCGGCGGCGAACCUCGCGCUCGACUCCGCCUCGUUUCGCUCCACGCCGCGCACGAUCUCCGCGCACUUCGUCAACGCCUUCUCCGCGCGUCGCAUGUCCCUCGGCCGCCGCGGGCUGUCGUGACUAUCCCUAGACGGCGCGACGUUCUCUUUCUCUGUAUCCUCCGCGACGAAGAGCCGGUCCAACGCCGCGCGCGUCGACGCCAACGCGUCGCGAUCGUUCGUCGCCGCGCGCAGGCACUCCAACCGGUGCGUCGGGAACUGCAGAAGCUCGAGCACGCCGCGCUCGUCGCUCAGGCGCGCGAGGACGCGCUCCGCGUGCGCGCGAAGCGCCGCGAGCUCCGACGCGUCGGACGUGCCGUCGAGCGCUUCGAGCUUCGCGCGGAGCUCGUGGAUCUCGCGCGCAUGUUCCUUCGCCUCUCGCUCGACGGCGCGGAGAAACGGGCUCUUCGCUUUGAGCUCGCGAAGGACGUCCUCCGCGGCCGCGACCGCCGCGCGGUUGAUCUUCAUCUUCGGUGUUGAUGACGUGGAUGAUGCUGACGUGUAUGUGUACGCUGACGUGGAUGAUGACGUGGACGCCGCCGAGCGCGACCGCUCCCGCUCCGCGGCGUUUCUCUCGCGCAACGGCGCGUUGGCGCGCGCGGAUAUCGUCCGUCUGACCUCACUCAUCGCCCUGCUGCGUCGCAGCGUCGACGGCGGCGUCGCCGGCACCGGCACCUGGGUCGACGGCGAUGCGUUUGAUCGCGCGGGCGCGACGAGCGGCGACAGCGCGGUGCGUCCGCGCGUCGGCGGCGGCGGCGGCGGCGGCGGCGGCGCGAACGAGAGAUGCUUCUUCUCCGCGGGCGAGCGCGGCGGCGACGGCGACGGCGACGGCGACGCGCUGCGCCGCGACAGUCCUUCCAUCAAACCGGCGGUGCCCCACGACGGCGACGCCGCGGCCGGUGAUCGCCACGGCGGCGGCGUGAGCGGCGUGAGCGGCGUCGGAUGAGAAGAAGAAGAAGACGCGCGGGCGUCUUCGAACAGCGGCGAGUCGUAGACGGCGGACCACCGCGCCGCGUCCUCCGCGCGAUGCGCCUCCGCGGGCGUCGGCGAGACGCGCGCGGCGCUCGGCGACGCCGCGAAGACGCGCGUCGUCGAUCUCUUCGUCUUCGUCUUCGUCUUCGUCUUCGCUCUCGCGAGGACGCGCGCGAGGACGAGCGCGGCGCACGCCGCGGCGACGCGCGCGAGCGUUCGCGCGAGGAGGAAGAGCGCGCGAGAGAACGACGACGAGACGUCGUCGUCUCCCCGCGCGCACUCGCCCUCGAGGGCCGCGACGACCGCGGCGGGGUCCGUCUCGAUCGCCCGCGUCGCUCCGUUGAACAUGGACGCGGUCGCGACGACGUUCGCGAGCGCGACCGCGAGCCCGAUGCUCCGCAGUUCCCUCGCGCGCGUCAUCCGCGCCCACGCGUCGGAGCCGCGGAUGGCGCUGUCGAGACUUCCGUCACGCGCGACGUCUCGCCACGCGGCGACGCGCGCGUCGAAGGCGUCGGGGGACAUCGCGUACGCGGCGCCGUCGCCGAACGGCGGCGGCGCGGGGGGGACGUCCGCGUCGGGGUCGAACAUCUCGCGCGCGGCGACGACGACGGCGGCGGGAGGCGCGCGCGCCGUCGUUGUUGCCGUUGACGCGACAGCUGUCGUCGCUCUCGUUCAUCAUUGAGGGUCGUUCCUAAAAAAAGUUCACCGGUCAGUUGAAAGGGGAAGCGAUCAAAUGUUGAAACCGGGCGAUGGGUGAAAAACUUUUGUAUAGAACGCUUCUCAGAUCAUCGAUCGACGACGCAUAACUUGGGCGAAACCGCCCCAGUUCGCCGCGCGCGCGCCGACCCGCCGCGACGAUGACCGGCGCGGACGCGGACGACGACGACCACGUCGAGAUCGUGACGUUCACGAUCGAAGAGGCGGUGCGUCGUCGCGCUCCCCGCGAGGCCCCCCGCGCCUCCGUCGCGCUCGGCUCCGCUUCGGCGUCGGAGUAUAUCGUCGUCGUCGUCGCGUUCUCCCAGAAGAAUCAAUCGACCGACGACUUGGCACCUUCUCCGUCCUCCUCCCGUCUCAUCACGCGCCUCCCCGUCUCCCACCCACCCCUCCGCCGCAGUACGUCUACGCGAUUCCCCCCACGGCGACGCACGCGGGUCACCGAGCGGACAGCUGGGACGUCGAGAAGUGGCUCCGAGCGGUGCGCGUCAAAGUCACCAGUCGCGGCUCGCGAGCGUCGAUAAAAUUGCUCGACGUCGAGUCCGGCGAGCUCUUCGCGGAGUGUCCGCUGCCGAAAGACGCGAAGGUCGCGACCGUCGUGGAGCCCGUCAUCGACAGCUCGAGGUACUUCGUCCUGCGCGUGGAGGACGAGGCGACGCGGCGGCACGCGUUCUUGGGGUUGGGGUUUCGAGAGCGCGACGCCGCGAGCGAUUUUAAGCUCGCGGUGCAAGAGCAGCAGCAGCAGAGGGAUCGAGAGAGGACCGCGGCGGCGCUCGCGGAGGAGCGCGAGAGAGCCGUCGCGGCCGCGGCCGCGGGCGGCGGUAACGGCGGUGACGGCGGCGGCCCGCCGAGGCUGCACGAUUACUCCUUGAAAGGGACGAUCAACAUCAACGUGUCGUCGAAGCUCGUCGGACGCGAACCGCACGCGAAGAGAGUCGCGGGGGGCGCGGCGGCGACCGCGGCGACCGCGACGAUCGCGCCGCCGCCGCCGGGCGCGCCGAUCCCGGUGCUCGCGCCGCCGCCGGGGGGGUUCCCGCCGCACAUCGAAAACCGGGUCGCUGGGAUGAUACGGUCGCCGACCGCGGGCGCGGGGAUGGGCGCGGCGCCGUCGCCGGCGAGCAUGAGCGUGACGCCGCCGCCGCCGCCGCCGCCGCCGCCGCCGGCGGACGACGCGGGCGGGGGGUGGGCGACGUUCGACGACCCGCCGGCGUCGAACGCGGGCGGGGGCGACGACUGGGCGGACUUCCAGAGCUGACGCGCGUUGUGAUAACGAUGAAAAGGGUUUAUGCGUACACGUCGUACUCUUAAAUUAAAUGCAAGGGACCGCGCGUUGGUCCGUGAGUGAAAAAAUUGGUUGGAGCUAGAAUAAAGACUAAAAUAAGCGAGCGAUGGCAGCGCAGCAACACCCACGGGACCGCGAGGUCGAGUCCGAGCGAACUCGGUGCUCCCCCUCGUGAUUGAUGAUGUGUGGCAUGUCUCGCGUCGUCGUCCACGUCGACGUCCCGAUGUUGACGCGUGGUGAUUGUCAUCCGUCCGUCCGUCGACGCGCGCGUCGUCGUCUUCAACAGAACGUGUAUUUCCUCGAAAGACGACGCCGCGACGCGACGCCGCGCGCGGCUCCGCGUUCAUUGGCGUUGGUUCCUGCCAUGAAUAUGGUAUUGACUAACGUGUGUUCAACGCGCGCUUAUUACGCCUUCGUUUUCUUCUCCUUCGCCUCGCCGAUGUACUCGUCGAGGUCCCAGUCGGAGUCCGUGCUGAGGUCCUGGCCCUCGGCGAGCUUGUUCGCGCGAGACUUGGCGCGCGCCUUGAUCUCCUUUCGCGAGAGCUUCUUCUUCGGCCCCUUCACCUUGACGAUGUUCCCGAGCGCGUCGACGACAUCCUCCGCGAUGAGCGGAUCCUGAUUGAUCGCCUCGCCCUUGCCCUUCUUGCCUUGGCCCCACUUGUUGCCCUCGACGUACACGACGCCGUCGCCGGGGACGUUCCACGUCUCCUCCUUGAGCGCGUCUGCGAAUUCGCAGUUGUGGGUGAUGAGGAGGACGCCGCCUUCAAACUCCUUCACCGCCAUCGCGAGCGCGCCGAGGGCGUCGCGGUCGAGGUAGUUGGUCGGCUCGUCCAUGACGACGAUGUGCGGCUGCUGCCACAUCGCGGCGCCGAGCACGAGCUUGACCUUUUGGCCGCCGGAGAGACCUUUGAUUCGGUUGUGGGUGCCGAACUCGGCGUCGAGGCCGAAAUCGAUGAGGUGCUUCUCGACGUUGGCCUGCGUGAGCGGGCGCGCGUAGAGACCCGCGCGCGCAGCCUCGCGCUCGUCGAUGCGGGUCAUGUACUUGGCGAAGCCAAACUUCUCGAGCUUCUCCUUCUCGACCCAGGAGGACGCGUCCAUGGACAUCCCCUUCCACUGCACCUCGUACUCGUACUUGGACUUCUUCUGGCGGCGGGACAAAAUCUUCUCGACGACGAGCUUGAGCAACGUCUUGCUGCCGUCCUCGUUCUCUUGCUCGAUCGGAAUCUUCUCCUUCAUGAGCCGCUCCUCCUCCUCGGUGUACUGCGCGGUCACCUUCGUGAGGUUCUCCUUGUCCUCGCCCGUCGCGAAGCGCCACCGAAUGUACUCGUUCGGCGUCUUCUCGAGGUGCUGCUCGACGUGGUGAAACGCGUGCUGCGCGACGUACGCGUAACGCAUGUUGGGGUGCUUCCACACCGUCCCCGCGUCGGGUUCCGCCUCGCCGGUGAGGAGCUUGAUGAACGUGGACUUGCCCGCGCCGUUCGGGCCGAGGCACGCGACGCGCGAGGAGAGGGACAGCUGGAUCGUGCCGGACUUGAUGAUCUGGCGGUCGGUGCCCGGGUAGGUAAACGCGCAGCCCGUCGCCUUGACGAUGGCUUUGUCCUUGUUCUUGACGCCUUCGAGGAAGCCGGGCGUGGGGAAGAUGAACUUGAGCUCGUCGUUGCUGAGCUCGGUGUACUUCUUCGCCGCGGGGCACUGCCUGAUGAACUCCGUGAGGUUGCCCUUGUACGUCACGAGCUUGCGCGUCUCGUAGUGGAUGAUGUGCGUGCACACGCGGUCGAGGAAGCCAGAGUCGUGCGAGACGAUCAUGGAGGACACCGUCGUCUGCGAGCAGAGGUAAUCCUCGAGCCACGCGACGUUCUUCACGUCGAGGUGGUUCGUGGGCUCGUCGAGGAGGAGGAUGUCCGCCUUCAUGAAGAUCGCGCGCGCGAGCGCGAGCUUCAUCUUCCAG
rnacentral:lncRNA from 1 species